CGAACGACAAAGUGGAGCAAUCCAUGAGUAAAGUGGCGACCGGGUGAGUAACACGUGACUAACCUACCUCCGAGUGGGGAAUAACUCCGGGAAACCGGGGCUAAUACCGCAUAACAUCGCAAGAUCAAAGCAGCAAUGCGCUUGGAGAGGGGGUCGCGGCUGAUUACCUCGUUGGCGGGGUAACGGCCCACCAAGGCGAAGGUCGGUAUCCGGCCUGAGAGGGCGCACGGACACACUGGAACUGAAACACGGUCCAGACUCCUACGGGAGGCAGCAGUGGGGAAUUUU
rnacentral:rRNA from 1 species